UCUUCUUAUACAGUCCUAUACUGACUCACUUCUCCCACUCACAAACUGAGGGUUAUGGCCUCAUGGGUAGAUUUAUAAUCGAAAAUCUUUGAAGAUUGUCUAAUUGUUAAUGAAAGAAUAGUUUUACAAAGAUUUACAUACUCGUUUUCGUUCCAGUCAAAUUGCAGGUUGUUGUGAUUGUUGGGAUAAGAAUUAAUGGAAAAUUCCUUUCAUUUCAUCUGAUCAAUUUGUGACAAACAAGAUUAACGCCUGAAGGGGAUUCUGUUUCCACAUUUUCAUUGCUCAGCAGCCUAAAACACCGGGUGCCUUAGUUUCUUAUCUUCCUUUUCAGAGAAAUCAAUGUAAAGAAAUGAUGAACACUUCUUAUUUUUCUAUAAUGUAUGCCAGGAAUAACUGAUUACGCUUGGCUUUUUGAAGUAUGUUCACUAUAGAAAAGAGAGUAUGUGUUCGUUUCUUCAUCAGCUGGUGCAGUUGGUCAGCUUGUUGGGAUAAUUUUCCAAGUACAAGGGUUGAUAUGUUGUUGGAAGUGCUGGAAGUAAAGAAAAGGAGCACGAUGAGCGAAAUAGAGAAGAAAUGUAGAUCUAGCAAUGAGACGGUGGAGGCUCUUGCUCGUUUUGGGUCAUUUUGUGAUUUCUAGUAAUGUUGAAUUUGUUUCUAUGGAUUUUAAUUUUAUGUACUUUUGUCAUUAGAAAUACUAAAUUAAUUUGUGAACAACUAUUUUGUAAUGCAUGUGUCCUAUGAGCACAAUUGUAGUAUUACUCUUCAAGUUAAUGAAAAUCUUUUGUUAUUGGCCUU